rnacentral:rRNA from 1 species
UACGAAGGGGGCUAGCGUUGCUCGGAAUUACUGGGCGUAAAGGGCUCGUAGGCGGCCAACUAAGUCGGAUGUGAAAUCCCCAGGCUUAACCUGGGAACUGCAUCCGAUACUGGAUGGCUUGAAUCCGGGAGAGGGAUGCAGAAUUCCAGGUGUAGCGGUGAAAUGCGUAGAUAUCUGGAGGAAUACCGGUGGCGAAGGCGGCAUCCUGGACCGGCAUUGACGCUGAGUGAGCGAAAGCUAGGGGAGCAAACGGG